rnacentral:lncRNA from 1 species
GGGGUGGCAAAAUGGGUGGGUUGGGCAGGUUUGGGUAAUGAGUUAGGAUGGGUAUGGGUUAGGAUGGGUCAAGAUAGGUUUUUGUCAAGAUAGAUUUGGGCAUGAUAGGCUAAAAUUAUAAAAAAAAAAUAAAAAAAUAAAAAAAAAAUCAAAAAAUUUAAAAAAAGCAAAAAAAUAAAAAAAUUCAAAAAGAUUUGAACAGUUAAAAAAAUUAAAAAUAAAAGAAAAUUUUAAAAAAAAUAAAAAAAAAGGUUCAGUGCUUGUAAUAGAAACAAAAAACACUUGAAAGAAAAAAAAAAGAAUGCAAAUUGCAUACUUGUAUCAUAAUAUAUUUGUAAUGUAGGGAUUGUUUCAUGAAACAAAAAAUGGAGAUGAUUAACAAG